UUAAAUUGAAGAGUUUGAUCAUGGCUCAGAUUGAACGCUGGCGGCAGGCCUAACACAUGCAAGUCGAACGGUAGCACAGAGAGCUUGCUCUCGGGUGACGAGUGGCGGACGGGUGAGUAAUGUCUGGGAAACUGCCUGAUGGAGGGGGAUAACUACUGGAAACGGUGGCUAAUACCGCAUAACGUCGCAAGACCAAAGAGGGGGACCUUCGGGCCUCUUGCCAUCAGAUGUGCCCAGAUGGGAUUAGCUUGUUGGUGAGGUAACGGCUCACCAAGGCGACGAUCCCUAGCUGGUCUGAGAGGAUGACCAGCCACACUGGAACUGAGACACGGUCCAGACUCCUACGGGAGGCAGCAGUGGGGAAUAUUGCACAAUGGGCGCAAGCCUGAUGCAGCCAUGCCGCGUGUAUGAAGAAGGCCUUCGGGUUGUAAAGUACUUUCAGCGGGGAGGAAGGUGUUGUGGUUAAUAACCGCAGCAAUUGACGUUACCCGCAGAAGAAGCACCGGCUAACUCCGUGCCAGCAGCCGCGGUAAUACGGAGGGUGCAAGCGUUAAUCGGAAUUACUGGGCGUAAAGCGCACGCAGGCGGUCUGUCAAGUCGGAUGUGAAAUCCCCGGGCUCAACCUGGGAACUGCAUUCGAAACUGGCAGGCUUGAGUCUUGUAGAGGGGGGUAGAAUUCCAGGUGUAGCGGUGAAAUGCGUAGAGAUCUGGAGGAAUACCGGUGGCGAAGGCGGCCCCCUGGACAAAGACUGACGCUCAGGUGCGAAAGCGUGGGGAGCAAACAGGAUUAGAUACCCUGGUAGUCCACGCCGUAAACGAUGUCUACUUGGAGGUUGUGCCCUUGAGGCGUGGCUUCCGGAGCUAACGCGUUAAGUAGACCGCCUGGGGAGUACGGCCGCAAGGUUAAAACUCAAAUGAAUUGACGGGGGCCCGCACAAGCGGUGGAGCAUGUGGUUUAAUUCGAUGCAACGCGAAGAACCUUACCUGGUCUUGACAUCCACAGAAGAAUCCAGAGAUGGAUUUGUGCCUUCGGGAACUGUGAGACAGGUGCUGCAUGGCUGUCGUCAGCUCGUGUUGUGAAAUGUUGGGUUAAGUCCCGCAACGAGCGCAACCCUUAUCCUUUGUUGCCAGCGGUUAGGCCGGGAACUCAAAGGAGACUGCCAGUGAUAAACUGGAGGAAGGUGGGGAUGACGUCAAGUCAUCAUGGCCCUUACGACCAGGGCUACACACGUGCUACAAUGGCGCAUACAAAGAGAAGCGACCUCGCGAGAGCAAGCGGACCUCAUAAAGUGCGUCGUAGUCCGGAUUGGAGUCUGCAACUCGACUCCAUGAAGUCGGAAUCGCUAGUAAUCGUGGAUCAGAAUGCCACGGUGAAUACGUUCCCGGGCCUUGUACACACCGCCCGUCACACCAUGGGAGUGGGUUGCAAAAGAAGUAGGUAGCUUAACCUUCGGGAGGGCGCUUACCACUUUGUGAUUCAUGACUGGGGUGAAGUCGUAACAAGGUAACCGUAGGGGAACCUGCGGUUGGAUCACCUCCUUACCUUAAAGAA
rnacentral:rRNA from 1 species